GACGAACGCUGGCGGCGUGCCUAAUACAUGCAAGUUGAACGCUUCUUUCUUAUCGAACUUCGGUUCACCAAGAAAGAGGAGUAGCGAACGGGUGAGUAACACGUGGGUAACCUGCCCAUCAGCGGGGGAUAACACUUGGAAACAGGUGCUAAUACCGCAUAAUGCUUUUUCUCACAUGAGAGAAAGCUGAAAGGCGCUUUUGCGUCACUGAUGGAUGGACCCGCGGUGCAUUAGCUAGUUGGUAGGGUAACGGCCUACCAAGGCAACGAUGCAUAGCCGACCUGAGAGGGUGAUCGGCCACACUGGGACUGAGACACGGCCCAGACUCCUACGGGAGGCAGCAGUAGGGAAUCUUCGGCAAUGGACGAAAGUCUGACCGAGCAAACGCCGCGUGAGUGAAGAAAGGUUUUUCG
rnacentral:rRNA from 1 species